ensembl:rRNA 5S_rRNA 5S ribosomal RNA
AGCUAUGGCCUUGCCACCCUGAACAAGCCCUAUUCCGUCUGAUCUCGGAGGUUAAGCAGGGUCCAGGCUGGUUAGAACCUGGAUGGGAGACCACCUAGGAGGACCAGGUGCUGUAGACA